GCCUGGGUGGCUCAGUCGGUUGAGCGUCCGACUUCAGCUCGGGUCAUGAUCUCACAGUCUGUGAGUUCGAGCCCCGCGUUGGGCU
rnacentral:tRNA from 1 species